UCUUCUUCACAAAGGUAGUCUCCACUGCUACGUCUCAUUGCUUGUCAUAUCCAGAAGUAUGUUGAACUUGUGCUGAUUCUCUUCCGUUCCCUCAAGAACCUAUCUUUUGUGAGAUUUGCUGCAAUCCAACCUCUUGUCUCAUUGUGAUGCAGGAGGAGAGCACACGGAGUUCUUCGAGGAGGAUAGGCUUAGUCAUAGAGCAGGAAUUAUUAGCAUAUGGAGCAAUGGUAUCUUGUGUGUCCAUGUUCUGUGCAAAUAUGCAGAAUAGAAUAAUAGAUAUUCUCUUGAAUAUUAUCUUGAUAGAUCAAAGGUUUUAGUUAGGAAGGCAUGUAUACUCCAUGCGGGUGCAAAACAUAAACACCUGUCUAGAGUCCUUGUCUGAAGCCAUAUCUUUAAUGGUAAGCGCCCCCACUCCCUUCCCUGGUGUCCCCUUCAAAGUUAGUAUAAAUUUGAGACACUUAUUUUGGGACGGAGGGAGCAGCAUUUACUCACAUCUAUAACAAGUUUCUUGUUCAUGUGCUGUCGACUGCCAAAAGAAUUGAAUGGUCACCAAUCAUCACCCAUGUGAAUGAUGCUUUCCUUGUACUCCCUCCGUCCGGAAAUACUUGUCAUCAAAAUGAAUAAAAGGGGAUGUAUGUAGACACAUUUUAGUUUAAGAUACAUCUCUUUUUAUCCAUUUUGAUGACAAGUAUUUUCGGACGGAGGGAGUAUAUAUGUCACUCCACAUGGACCAUUGUCAUUCUAUUCAUUUUAAAGUGUUGGUAGCACUAACUUAGUACACUGGACACGUGGUGAUGAGAUGAUCAAAUUCAGCAAAGAAUGAGCUAACAAUUACAUUACAUAGAUGUCACAGCAUGUGCGUGGGAAUGAGAGACAUCCGGAAUAGCCAGGAGAGAAAUAUCUUUAGGUUGGUCAGUGACCAAGGGCGAUGCUGACCAUUAAGCUAAAUUGUAUCUUUCGCUUUCAACAUUAAAUCACUGUUACAGCCUGCCUUUGGAACUGUAGUCGCCCUGCAGGUCCCUCUUAUCCCCUCGGACCGACGGUCAGCUUCAUCUACCGCGAGCCUAUCCGCUUCUCCUUGACAAGUGUGCAUACCGGCGGCGGUCAUGGUGGCUAGUUGGCACGUCGGCAUCUUCUUCACAAAGGAGGAGAGCACACGGAGUUCUUCGAGGAGGAUAGGCUUAAUCGGAGAGCAGGAAUUAUUAGCAUAUGAAGCAAUGGUAUCUUGUGUGUCCAUGUUCUGUGCAAAUAUGCGGAAUAGAAUAAUAGAUAUUCUCUUGAAUAUUAUCUUGAUAGAUCAAAGGUUUUAGUUAGGAAGGCAUGUAUACUCCAUGCGGGUGCAAAACAUAAACACCUGUCUAGAGUCUUUGUAUAAAGCCAUUUCUUUAAUGGUAAGCGCCCCCACUCCCUUCCCUGCUCCCUUCAAAGUUUGUAUAAAUUUGAGACACUUAUUUUGGGAUGGAGGGAGUAGCAUUUACUCACAUCUAUAACAAGUUUCCCGUUCAUGUGCUGUCGACUGCCAAAAGAAUUGAAUCGUCACCAAUUGUCACUCAUGUGAAUGAUGCUUUGCUUGUACUCCCUCCGUCCGGAAAUACUUGUCAUCAAAAUGAAUAAAAGGGGAUGUAUGUAGACAUAUUUUAGUUCAAGAUACAUCUCUUUUUAUCCAUUUUGAUGACAAGUAUUUUCGGACGGAUGGAGUAUAUAUGCCACUCCACAUGGACCAUUGCCGUUCUAUUCAUUUUUAACGUUUUGGUAGCACUAACUUAGUACACUUUAUACAUGGUGAUGAGAUGAUCAAAUUCAGCAGAGAAUGAGAGGAGAAUUACAUUACAUAGAUGUCACAACAUGUGCGUGGGAAUGAGAGACAUCCGGAAUAGCCAGGAGAGAAAUAUCUUUAGGUUGGUCAGUGACCAAGGGCGAUGCUUGACCAUUAAGCUAAAUUGUAUCUUUCGCUUUCAACAUUUAACCACCAUUACAGCCUGCCUUUGGAGCUGUAGUCGCCAUACAGCUCCCUCUUAUCCCCUCGGACCGACGAUCAGCUUCAUCUACCACGAGCCUAUCCGCUUCUCGUUGACAAGUGUGCAUACUGGCGGCGGUCAUGGCGGCUAGCUGGCACGUCAGCAUCUUCUUCAUAAAGGUAGUCCGCACAUCAUUGCUUGUCAUAGCCAGAAGUAUGUUGAACUUGUGCUGAUUCUCUUCCGUGCCCUCAAGAACCUCUCUUUUGUGAGAUUUGCUGCAAUCCAACCCCUUGUCUCAUUGUGAUGCAGGAGGAGAGCACACCGAGUUCUUCGAGGAGGAUAGGCUUAAUCGUAGAGCAGGCAUCAGAUUCUGUUUUGUUAAGAUUAACAAUUAUCUUGAUCUCAUUCUGAUGUGAAGUGCUUUGGACGUGCUUUGGUUUUUGCACGAAUUACUAACAUAUGGAGCAAUGGUAUCUUGUGUGUCCAUGUUCUAUGCAAAUAUGCAGAAUAGAAUAAUAGAUAUUCUCUUGAAUAUUAUCUUGAUAGAUCAAAGGUUUUAGUUAGGAAGGCAUGUAUACUCCAUGCGGGUGCAAAACAUAAACACCUAUCUAGAGUCCUUGUCUGAAGCCAUAUCUUUAAUGGUAAGGGCCCCCACUCCCUUCCCUGAUGUCCCCUUCAAAGUUAGUAUAAA